rnacentral:snoRNA from 1 species
CUCCUCUCAGAAUUGCCCUUGGAGAGUUUCCAGUAUUCUACCAGCCUCAGCUAUGGGAGGGAAAGUCAAGCAGAGGCAUACCCAUUCCAUUCCAAGCUUGGGCAGUGGCUAGUGAGUGGAAGGCAAUCUGCUACAAGU